rnacentral:rRNA from 1 species
GACGAACGCUGGCGGCGUGCCUAAUACAUGCAAGUCGAGCGAAAGGACCAGCAGUUUGCGCCGCUGACGUUGGGGGCGGACGGGUGAGUAACACGUGGAUACCCUACCUAUAAAGCGGGGAUAACUUCGGGAAACGGGGUCUAAUCCCAAAUAAUAUGUGGAACCGAGUGGGUGAUGGGAAAGAGACGGGGGUGCUGGCACGUGUAGGGGUAUCCGCGCUGCAUUAGCUAGUUUGUGAGGUAACGGGUUACCAAGGCAACUAGUCAUAGCCGACGUGAUGGGGGGAUCGGCGCCACUGGACGUUCGACACGGUCCAGACUCCUACGGGACGCAGCAGUCGGAAACCGUCCGCAAUGGUCGAAAUCCUGACGGAGCAACGCGGCGUGAGUGAUGAAGGUCUUCGGAUCGUAAAACUCUGUUAUUAGGGAAGAACAUAUGUGUAAGUAAAUGUGCCCAUCUUGACGGUACCUAAUCAGAAAGCCACGGCUAACUACGUG